rnacentral:rRNA from 1 species
GAUUAACGCUGGCGGCGUGCAUAACACAUGCAAGUCGAACGAAGUGGCGGAGGGGUGAGUAACGCGUGAGUAACCUGCCUUAGAGAAGGGGAUAGCCUUUGGAAACGAAGAAUAAUACCAUAUGAUCUAAGAUGGACUUGCGUCGGAUUAGGUAGUUGGUGGGGUAACGGCCCACCAAGACAGCGCUCAGUAGCAGGAUUGAGAGAGUGUACUAACACACUGGGACUGAGACACGGCCCAGACUCUACGGUAGGCAGCAGUGGGGAAUUUUGCACAAUUGGGGAAACCCUGAUGCAGCGACGCCGCGUGAUUUAGAAGGCCUUCGGGUUGUAAAAAUCUUUUCUAUGUGAAGCAGUACCAUAGGAAUAAGGACCGGCUAAUUACGUGCCAGCGGCCGCGGUAAUAC